rnacentral:rRNA from 1 species
UACGUAGGGACCAAGCGUUGUUCGGAUUCAUUGGGCGUAAAGGGCGCGUAGGCGGCUCGAUAAGUCAAAGGUGAAAUCCCUCGGCUCAACUGAGGAACUGCCUUUGAAACUGUCGAGCUCGAGUCCGGGAGGGGGUAGCGGAAUUCCCAGUGUAGCGGUGAAAUGCGUAGAUAUUGGGAGGAACACCAGUGGCGAAAGCGGCUACCUGGACCGGAACUGACGCUGAUGCGCGAAAGCGUGGGUAGCAAACAGG